UACGAAGGGGGCUAGCGUUGCUCGGAAUCACUGGGCGUAAAGCGCACGUAGGCGGCUUGUUAAGUCAGGGGUGAAAUCCUGGAGCUCAACUCCAGAACUGCCUUUGAUACUGGCGAGCUUGAGUUCGGGAGAGGUGAGUGGAACUGCGAGUGUAGAGGUGAAAUUCGUAGAUAUUGAGAGGAACACCGGUGGCGAAGGCGGCCAACUGGACAGAUACUGACGCUGAGACACGAAAGCGUGGGGAGCAAACAGG
rnacentral:rRNA from 1 species